CCGUGCGCUCAGAUUCGUAAUCUGUGCCCACAGAUUUGUAAACCGCGCGCAUGGUUUUGCAAUCCGUGCCCUCAGAUUUGCUAUCAGUGCCCUCAGAUUUGUCAACCGUGCGUAUGGUUUUGCAAUCCUCGCCCACAGUUUUGCUAUCAGUGCCCUCAGAUUUAUCAACCUUGCGCGCUUCCUUCUUCCUUCACUUCUUUCUGCAGAGAGCAAGAGACCAUAUAACUUUUCAACGGUGUACAUCUGCCUGGCAAUGUGUUAGUGAGUCCUUGAUGGAUCUACAAUCCAUAUAUAUUCACUUGGAUAGACUGGAGUUAAAAGAACUUUAUUUUAACUUGGGCCUCACAUAUACAGACAUCCUCCACAUUUUGAGUGUUAAGCACUGGAUUGUUCUCAGUCUGACAACCAUAAAACGAAUCCUGAAGAAGAAUGGACUGUUCUGCCGGAAACAAUUUGACAGUUUAGCAGAAACUGUUCAAUUCAUAAGGGAGGAGCUCCAAGGCUUAGGGGCUUUGCAUGGCUACAGGUGGAUGUACACUAAGUGCAAAGAGAGGGGACUGUAUGUAAGGAAAGAGGAUGUCCACCUAAUUCUAUCCACUCUUGACCCAGAAGCCACAGAAAUCCGAAGACGUAGAAGAUUGAACAGACAAGCAUACUUUUCCAAGGGGUCAAAUUUUGUGUGGCAUGUUGAUUCUUAUGACAAUUAAGGGCAUUCUGUAUAUGCAUCAAUGGAGCUGUUGAUGGGUUCUCAAGAAGAAUACUGUGGUUGAAUGCAUACAGUAGUGACCCCAAAGUUAGAGGAGGUUAUUUCUUAGAGACAGUAGGGGAACUAGGUGGAUGUGCCCGUAUCGUCAGGACAGAUAUGGGGACGGAAAACAGCUCUAUGUGAAUUUGCAACUGUACCUUUGUCACAAUGAUAAUGAUGGUUAUGGGGGUGAUAAAGUUUCAUUUAUGGAAGAAGCACAAGCAAUCAGUGAAUAGGGAGCUGGUGGGGCUUUCUCCAUAAACAGUGUGUGGACUUCUGGCUCGACCACUUUCACCGACUUAAAGAUGUAGGUGAUUUUGUUGGGGACUUCUUUGACCAGAAUCGCAUGUCAUUUUGCUUCCUUGGUUUGAUACAGGCCAGUGGCAUCAAUAGACAGUGGGUAAUGUAUGUUUAAUAAUCUGUGUUUUUGCUGAAAUCAGCAGUCCAUCCCAACAUCCAUAACAUGCUACAUGACGAGACAUAAAAUUUGACAGAAAUACUUUUGUGCUUGUGUUACAACCCACUAUCUUUGGGAUGGGAAGUUUUUUUUUGUUUCUGUGUGCUGUGCCAUAUUUUUGUGUGCAGGUCCGAACUACCUCCCAGAGUUUCCAGCCUGCCCUAGCCUGCCUUGCUCCUGCCUCACUGGAUGACAUCACUGAUUGACGACCAUAUUUAAUUUUUGACGACCUUUUAGCGACAGCAAAACUCAAGACGUGAAAAGAAGAGAGAAAAGAAGAAGAGAAAGAAGACAAAGGAGAAUCAAAUCUGUCCGUCCUUCUUCUUCCCAGACCGGCCGGAGAACCAGAUUGUAGCCGCGCUAGGCAAAGGCAAGCUGAUAUCCAACGCCUAGCAAAUGCACACAGACUUUUACACACAAUUGAAGAACAGUUUGAAGACAUUGAACAAAUUGAAGUAAAUAUGUUAAGGUUGAAUGUUAAUCUGGAGGGGAUGAGAAAAGAGGCAAGUAAGAAACAUGAUAAAGUUGAUAGGCGCAUGAGAGCGCACAAAGGGGCGAUUUACCACCACUAUGGAGCACAAGAGGCAGAACAAAUCUUCCUUGCUGCUCAAUCUAUUUCUACUGUAGAUAAUCCAGGUAAAUCUAUCCAUGAAGAGAUAGAAGAAUCCUGUGUUAAAUUACUUGGCCUUGAAAUCUCAACCCUGAAGGAUCGCUCGGAUCCAUUUAAUCCUCAUCUCAGUGAGAGAACAGGAUGUCUCUAAAAAAGGGUCAUGUAAAGUUCAUGUAUCCAGUGUGUGUGUUAAAGCUUCACCCUUAGUGCACUAUGGAAAGGAAGUGCCACCGGUCUAGCUAAGAAGUGCACAAGCACAAAUGUAUUUACUCUGCUACUAUUCCACCUUAUGCAGCGUGCACUUUACUAUGUUUUAUGAUAUGCACUCUAAUGUGAUGUGUAUUCAAAAGGUUACCUGCCAAUAUACUUUACUUUGUUUAUAAGAUACACUCACCAUAUGAGUAUAUAUACUGCCUGUCUGUUCAUUGUAAUUUGGCCACAUCUCGGGUGAAGAUAUCUUCGUUGCUGAUUUCUUGUUCCAGAACAUCCUUAGUGAUUGUUAACUAUUAUCUUUUACCUAGAAGCAACACUGUAUGCUAUUUUUCUGUUAUUCCUUAUUUGAUACAAAGAUAAUUGUAAGACUCCAGGUUAUUCAAUAAAAUGAAGCCCAUAUCUUGGGUGA